CUAGUAAUAAUAAGGAUAAUAAUAGUAAUAAAAAUAAAAAGGUCAAUUUAGAAAUAAAAUGGAAUUUAGGGCAAAACACAAAUAAAUAGAUAAAUACAAUAAAAAGGAAAAAGGAAAAAAUAAAAUAAAAAGAAUGCAAAAAUAUUUAAAGAAAAUGACAUAAGGACUAAAAUGAAAUUAAAAUAAAACUCCAUGGGGAAAUUUAAACAGC
rnacentral:lncRNA from 1 species